GGGUCAGCAGGAGCAGGAGCAGGAGCAGGAGCAGGACUCCACUCGCGCAGGCACACGUUCGGAUGUGUUGCCACCCCUCUAUUUAUGUCAGUUUGGCGCCCCCGUUCUCGAAGAGGGCCUUGCCUGCUCCCUGCUAAGACACUACACUUCACCGUACCUCUAAUCAACUCUCUCUUUCAUUCAUUUUAAUACGGAGUGGCGAGUGACCGUUCCGGCUCGUUAUCGCAGUGACAGUGUGGAAUUUCCUUUCUUGUCCGUCUAUCUAAUCUGUCUUCUUCUGAUAAGGAAAGUGCAACUGGAGCUGGAAAUAUGGAUCUGGACAUGCUCGGGUCGCUUCGCCCCUAACCUUUCCUUGGUAUUUGGGCAGUUUAAAGGGGCGCAUCUAGAGGCGCCAUGAGGUCAUCCGGCGACUUUGGUUCCGUUUCAGUUCGUUUUCCGUGACUGCCCGCCAAUGGAUUUGAAUCUGUCCCGCCAAAUCCCGCCUCACUCAGCCCCGCCCAUUAUUUGAGCCAAUGUUGUUACAGUCCCCUCCUCUCCGAUGUGUUCAAAUAACUGGCCUCGGGGGAACGAAACAAUUCGACAAAGCAAUACGAACCGGUUAAUAACACUCCGAGCAAAAAGACAAUAUUAUCAAUACUAGUGAGUAGAGUAACUCGUCACGCCUAAUGUUAGCAACCGCCGAAUUAACCGUUAACUGUUACCUAAACGACAUAGUGAAAUGGGUAGAGUAGUAUCGCGUUCCUCGCCCAUAGUAUUUUUUGUAAUCGAAUGAGAUAUUUUGUAGCACUUUUAGCGGCCGUUAGCCAUGUUGAAUUUGUUGACCACUUUUUUGAAUGAGCUGUCGAGGUUCAGGGUGCUGCGGCACUCCAAAGUCAAGCUGAAGCCGCGGUCCGCCCCCCGCCC